AUUGAACGCUGGCGGCAGGCCUAACACAUGCAAGUCGAGCGAGCGGCGGACGGGUGAGUAAUGUCUGGGAAACUGUCUGAUGGAGGGGGAUAACUACUGGAAACUGUCGCUAAUACCGCGUACCAUAGGAUGAGCCCAAGUGGGAUUAGGUAGUUGGUGGGGUAAUGGCCUACCAAGCCGACGAUCUCUAGCUGGUCUGAGAGGAUGAACAGCCACACCGGGACUGAGACACGGCCCGGACUCCUACGGGAGGCAGCAGUGGGGAAUAUUGCGCAAUGGGGGCAACCCUGACGCAGCCAUGCCGCGUGAAUGAAGAAGGCCUUCGGGUUGUAAAGGACUUUUGUCAGGGAAGCGGUACCUGAAGAAUAAGCACCGGCUAACUACGUGCCAGCAGCCGCGGUAAUUC
rnacentral:rRNA from 1 species